rnacentral:rRNA from 1 species
CUCACACCCAUAGCGCCUGGGAAUUACGAGCUUUAGCUUAAAACCCAAAGGAUUUGACGGUGUCCCACCCAACUAGAGGAGCCUGUCCUGUAAUCGAUGAUCCACGUUUCACCUUACCAUUUUUUGCUUAUCAGCCUGUAUACCUCCGUCGCAAGCUUACCAUAUGAACGAAUCAAAGUAGGUUUAAGGACUUAACGCCAAUACGUCAGGUCAAGGUGCAGCUUAUAAAAUGGGUAGAGAUGGGCUACAAUCUCUAAACUAGAACAAACGAAAAACUACAUGAAACAUAGUCAUGAAGGAGGAUUUAGCAGUAAAUAAGAAAUAGAAAGUCUUAUUGAACUUGGCCCUGGGAUGUGUACAAACCGCCCGUCACCCUCUUCGAUAGCCUUUAAAAAGUUUAAUAACCAAAUCCAGCAUUUUAGAAGAGGCAAGUCGUAACAUGGUAAGUGUACUGGAAAGUGCACUUGGUAUAAUCAAAACGUAGCUUAAUUAAAGCAACUCGCUUACAUCGAGAAGACAUCUGUGCAAUUCAGAUCAUUUUGAGCCUAAAAUCUAGCCUAAAAAUCUCAUAAAAUCACUCUAAAAAUCUUUCCUAAAUAAAACAUUUUAUGUUUUAGUAGAGGCGAUCGAAAAAAACUUAAGCGCUUAAGAGAUAGUACCACAAGGGAAACAUGAAAUAGAAAUGAAAAAAAACUAAAG